rnacentral:rRNA from 1 species
UACGAAGGGGGCUAGCGUUGUUCGGAAUCACUGGGCGUAAAGCGCACGUAGGCGGACGUUUUAAGUCAGGGGUGAACCAGGCUCAACCCUGGAACUGCCCUUGAUACUGGACGUCUCGAGUCCGGGAGAGGUGAGUGGAACUCCGAGUGUAGAGGUGAAAUUCGUAGAUAUUCGGAAGAACACCAGUGGCGAAGGCGGCUCACUGGCCCGGUACUGACGCUGAGGUGCGAAAGCGUGGGAGCAACAGG